rnacentral:telomerase_RNA from 12 species
UUAAUUAGAGGGAUUGGAAGGUUCCGCUUAUGCUAACCCUAAUAUUGGGGGUCUGUUGAAAACCUCUUUAAGAUAUGCGUGUUGUUUUAUUGGCUGACUUUCAGCGCGCAUUGAGAGGAGUUGCUGCCCAGGACUAAAAAAUGUCAGCUGGGAGUCCUUCCUCUCCCUUAUUUCUGCCUCACAACCUGGACUCUUUAUUUAGCGGUGCCCCAUUUGUCGAGGCCGCAGUCAGUCUUGUUCUUAUACGCUGCUGUUGCGAAGAGUUCGUCUCUGUCAGCCUCCGGGGCAACGCCUUGAAUUUGGAGAGCCUGGGAAUGUAACAAGGGGUAGGGAAAAUAACGAGAGCUGAGUUGGCUUCUCCUGUGCUGUUCCUGAGCUGUGGAACUUGCAAUCGCAGUCGGCUCUGACACUU